GACGAACGCUGGCGGCGUGCCUAACACAUGCAAGUCGAGCGGAGAUGAUGUGAGGAAGUUUUCGGAUGGAAUCACAUUAUUUUAGCGGCGGACGGGUGAGUAACGCGUGAGCGACCAACCUUGCACAGGGGGAUAACGGACCGAAAGGUUCACUAAUACCGCAUGAGACCACGGUGUUGCAUGACACAGGGGUCAAAGGAGGAAUCCGGUGCAAGACGGGCUCGCGUCCGAUUAGGUAGUUGGAGGGGUAACGGCACACCAAGCCUAUGAUCGGUAGCCGACCUGGGAGGGUGAUCGGCCACAUUGGAACUGAGAUACGGUCCAAACUCCUACGGGAGGCAGCAGUGGGGAAUAUUGGGCAAUGGGGGAAACCCUGACCCAGCAACGCCGCGUGAAGGAAGAAGGUUUUCGGAUUGUAAACUUCUGUCCUUGGUGAAGAGAAGAAGACGGUAGCCAAGGAGGAAGCCCCGGCUAACUACGUGCCAGCAGCCGCGGUAA
rnacentral:rRNA from 1 species